AUGGAGUUAGCAAAAAGGUUGCAUUUGUACGACACGCCCAACAAUAUAAGAGAAUUUUUGGAGAUUGAUGGCAUAUAUGUAACUACAGCUCAAGUCAGUAGCCAUCUGCAGAAAUACAGAAGCGACCACCGUACUGGUGGGUUAUCAACCAUGCCAAGCUCUAGGCCAUCACAUUCUAAUAGUACUUCCAAGAACUAUUCGGAAUCUCAAGAAUGUGAGGGGAGUUACAGAAUCCAUAUGAGAUCCCAGGGAGCAAGAGAUAUUAACCAAACCAGCUGGCUCAGCGGUGGUGCAUCACAAGUUGACUAUGGCGUUCUUGGAAAUUGGAACCAAACAACUAAUCUUGGCGCAGGUGUUGCUUAUGGUCAUGGUUAUUAUCAUGGUAAUGGCAUUGGCGACAUAAAUGGUUAUGAUCAUCAUUAUGGUAUUGUCAGUGCUAAUGAUUAUGGUCAGCAUUAUGGUAAUGGCAAUAAUACAUCUUAUGGUUAUCCUCACGGUAAUUCUAGUGAUAAUAAUUGUGGUAAUGGUAAUGGUGGUCGUGGUGGAGUUAUAACAAGUGGAAGCAUGCUACUGGGGAAAUUUCUUCUCGAGGGCCAAUGUUUAUCAGCCACCCUCAGGCUCACUGUUAGCUCCCUCUGCCACCCUAAUCUGAGCUCAUCAUCCUUGCUGCCACCGUGCCCUGUCGCUUUGAUGUCUCUCUCGGCUCCCUUCACCUCCAUUCGCGUAGUCAAAUGGAUUAAUGGGUCUUCAAAUCACAAAAAUGGAGAAAUUGAUUGCACCAAGAGUUUUUGCAUGAAUGAGAUUGGUGUUAAGUCUAAACCUGAAGAUGGUGACCUAGUGAUGGACAAUGAUGCAAUCUUACUGGAUGCUACCCGCAAGAGAUUAUUACCAGUUUGA
rnacentral:rRNA from 1 species